rnacentral:rRNA from 1 species
GUAGGUGGCAAGCGUUGUCCGGAAUUAUUGGGCGUAAAGCGCGCGCAGGGCGGUUCUUUAAGUCUGAUGUGAAAGCCCACGGCUCAACCGUGGAGGGUCAUUGGAAACUGGAGAACUUGAGUACAGAAGAGGAAAGCGGAAUUCCACGUGUAGCGGUGAAAUGCGUAGAGAUGUGGAGGAACACCAGUGGCGAAGGCGGCUUUCUGGUCUGUAACUGACGCUGAAGCGCGAAAGCGUGGGGAGCAAACAGGAUUAGAUACCCCGGUAGUCCACGCCGUAAACGAUGAGUGCUAAGUGUUAGGGGGUUUCCGCCCCUUAGUGCUGCAGCUAACGCAUUAAGCACUCCGCCUGGGGAGUACGGCCGCAAAGGCUG